AAACAUAUAGCUCAGUGACAGAGCACUUGACUGAUACUCAAUGGCCCUAAGUUUG
rnacentral:tRNA from 1 species